rnacentral:rRNA from 1 species
GAUGAACGCUGGCGGCAAGCUUAAUACAUGCAAGUCGAGGGGCAGCAGGUUUGUAGCAAUACAGAUGCUGGCGACCGGCAACGGGUGCGGAACACGUACAGAACCUUCCUUUAAGUGGGGGAUAGCCCAGGGAAACUUGGAUUAAUACCCCGUAAUAUAUAGAAGUGGCAUCACUUUUAUAUUAUAGUCUCAGGUCGCUUGAAGAUGGCUGUGCGGCUGAUUAGGUAGUUGGCGGGGUAACGCCCACCAAGCCUGCGAUCAGUAACUGGUGUGAGAGCACGACCA